CCCAACUUAGUGGUACCCUUCAACUAGGCACUCCCUCACCUCAAGAUUAUUUGCAUAAUGAUUAUUAUGAAGAUUGUUGGGAUGAUGAUCUGGAUGUGGAGGAGGAUAUUGCAUUAGAACAAAUAGAAGAAGAGGGGGAAGAGGGGGAAGAGGGGGAAAAGGAAGUAGCAGAAGUAGAAGUAGUGAGACAAGGAGCCUACCCUUGACGAAUUAUGUUUCUACGAGGAGCUUGAACGCUUAGAAAGAAACAUGGCUAAUUUGGGAGGUGAGGAGAAUACAACACAAGAAAAUGAAAUGCCACCUCCACCUCCUCGACCACCUCAAGUACAAGUUCAACAACGUCAAAAUCAAUCACUACCUUCACGACCACGACCACCCAUUGUAAGGGGAAGGGCUCAACCAUCAACAUCAAGGGGAAAAUUACAAGUGCCAACAAGAAGGGGCCGAAGAUGUCAACAAUCUUCAUAAACUUGAAACUUUGUUUUUUUGCUUUUGGUUUGUAACUUAAUUAUUAAAACUUUGGAUUGUAACUAAUUUUUUUGCUUUUGGGUUUGUUACUUUAUUUAUUUUAAAACCUUGGCUACAAUACAAGUGGAAAAUGCAGCUGAACUGCUAAUGUUCGUUCUGCUCUUAUAAACAUUGCAGGUUUGCCCAAUAUUUUUUUUAUUUGGUUGAAUAAAAGUUAAGCCCAUAUGUGGGGGCUGUUACAUUCAGUGGGCAGGCCCAAUAUUAGGUUUUUGUCCAAUUGGACCAAUAUUA